GAUGAACGCUGGCGGCGUGCCUAAUACAUGCAAGUCGAGCGAACGGACGAGAAGCUUGCUUCUCUGAUGUUAGCGGCGGACGGGUGAGUAACACGUGGAUUACCUACCUAUAAGACUGGGAUAACUUCGGGAAACCGGAGCUAAUACCGGAUAAUAUUUUGAACCGCAUGGUUCAAAAGUGAAAGACGGUCUUGCUGUCACUUAUAGAUGGAUCCGCGCUGCAUUAGCUAGUUGGUAAGGUAACGGCUUACCAAGGCAACGAUGCAUAGCCGACCUGAGAGGGUGAUCGGCCACGCUGGAACUGAGACACGGUCCAGACUCCUACGGGAGGCAGCAGUAGGGAAUCUUCCGCAAUGGGCGAAAGCCUGACGGAGCAACGCCGCGUGAGUGAUGAAGGUCUUCGGAUCGUAAAACUCUGUUAUUAGGGAAGAACAUAUGUGUAAGUAACUGUGCACAUCUUGACGGUACCUAAUCAGAAAGCCACGGCUAACUACGUG
rnacentral:rRNA from 1 species